AUACGGGGGGUGCAAGCGUUGUUCGGAAUUAUUGGGCGUAAAGCGCGUGUAGGCGGUUUGAUUAGUCUGAUGUGAAAGCCCUGGGCUCAACCCAGGAAGUGCAUUGGAAACUGUCAGACUUGAAUACGGGAGAGGGUAGUGGAAUUCCUAGUGUAGGAGUGAAAUCCGUAGAUAUUAGGAGGAACACCGGUGGCGAAGGCGGCUACCUGGACCGAUAUUGACGCUGAGACGCGAAAGCGUGGGUAGCAAACAGGAUUAGAUACCCUGGUAGUCCACGCCGUAAACGAUGAGUACUAGGUGUUGCGGGUAUUGACCCCUGCAGUGCCGCAGCUAACGCAUUAAGUACUCCGCCUGGGAAGUACGGUCGCAAGACUAA
rnacentral:rRNA from 1 species